rnacentral:rRNA from 1 species
AGUCGAGCGGUAGCACGGAGAAACUUGUUUCUUGGGUGACGAGCGGCGGACGGGUGAGUAACGCGUAGGAAUCUACCUAGUAGAGGGGGACAACAUGUGGAAACGCAUGCUAAUACCGCAUACGCCCUAAGGGGGAAAGGAGGGGACUCUUCGGAGCCUUCCGCUAUUAGAUGAGCCUGCGUGAGAUUAGCUAGUUGGUAGGGUAAAGGCCUACCAAGGCGACGAUCUCUAACUGGUCUGAGAGGAUGACCAGUCACACUGGGACUGAGACACGGCCCAGACUCCUACGGGAGGCAGCAGUGGGGAAUAUUGGACAAUGGGCGCAAGCCUGAUCCAGCCAUGCCGCGUGUGUGAAGAAGGCCUUAGGGUUGUAAAGCACUUUCAGGGGUGAGGAAGGGCGUUUGGUUAAUAUCCAGAUGUCUUGACGUUAGCCCCAGAAGAAGCACCGGCUAACUCUGUGCCAGCAGCCGCGGUAAUACAGAGGGUGCAAGCGUUAAUCGGAAUUACUGGGCGUAAAGCGCGCGUAGGUGGUUUGUUAAGUCGGAUGUGAAAUCCCCAGGGCUCAACCUUGGAAUGGCACCCGAUACUGGCAGGCUAGAGUAUGGUAGAGGGGUGUGUGGAAUUUCCUGUGUAGCGGUGAAAUGCGUAGAU